AUUGAACGCUGGCGGCAGGCCUAACACAUGCAAGUCGAGCGGAUGAAGGGAGCUUGCUCCUGGAUUCAGCGGCGGACGGGUGAGUAAUGCCUAGGAAUCUGCCUGGUAGUGGGGGAUAACGUCCGGAAACGGGCGCUAAUACCGCAUCCGUCCUGAGGGAGAAAGUGGGGGAUCUUCGGACCUCACGCUAUCAGCUGAGCCUAGGUCGGAUUAGCUAGUUGGUGGGGUAAAGGCCUACCAAGGCGACGAUCCGUAACUGGUCUGAGAGGAUGAUCAGUCACAAUGGAACUGAGACACGGUCCAGACUCCUACGGGAGGCAGCAGUGGGGAAUAUUGGACAAUGGGCGAAAGCCUGAUCCAGCCAUGCCGCGUGUGUGAAGAAGGUCUUCGGAUUGUAAAGCACUUUAAGUUGGGAGGAAGGGCAGUAAGUUAAUACCUGGCUGUUUUGACGUUACCAACAGAAUAAGCACCGGCUAACUUCGUG
rnacentral:rRNA from 1 species